UAAUUCUUUCCCCCAUUUGAACCCUAAACCUAGAAAAUCAGAGACGGUGUCCCCUCUACUAUUCUUCUUCUUCUCCUCAACUCGCCUCAACUCGUUUGAGUUUUGAGCGAGUUCAUUCAUUGGUCUCCCCCUCCAUGGCACCUUAUCCUCAACAGAUUUGUCAGAGGAGUACGAUAUUCUCUCAAAAUUGCACGAUUUCGGAUUCAAAAGGACAAUUGUUGGGCGAAUGGGAGCCGUGGAUAGAUGUGAAUCAAUCCACGCCCUCCAUUUGUCCCAAAAUUGUUCAGAAAUCUGAAGAUUUUCGGAUUCUAGGCAGAAGCUUCGAGAUAUUUUGAGGUUUAUAUAUAAGGUACAGCUCAUUAAUUAAAUGACAUGAACCUGCAGAUUAGUUUGGGAAUAAGAACUGAUGGAAAUUGUUCAUAUGUCAGCUGUCCUGUUACCUUUGUUUGAUCGCUAUUGUUGGUUAGUUUAAUUGCUGAAGUUUUUUUUAGUUCCUACUUUUGCUUCUUCUUCGGCUCUAUUUUUUUUAUGAUCUGGGUCAGAAUCAGAUCUCUUGAUGUUUGUAUUAGUCUUAGCUUCUUUCGUUUCCUCUAUAGAUCCAGGAAAGUUUUUUUAAAGUUUUAUGAGGGGAUUGUUAACACUGAAUUGGGCAUUUUGUUUGGUUUAGAUUGACUUAGUUUUCUUUCUUAUGUGACGCUGAUUUGUGCGCACAUGUAGUGUGUUCAACUUUAAGAGGUCAAAUUUGCCUUGUGAUGCAAUAGUUUUUUUUUAAGUUGAGCAAAAGUAAGGAAAAGAUUUUUUGUAGUCAUAUUGUCAUAAUUAGUGGUGUAUCUUAAUUCACUUUAAUGAAUGUUUAAGUAUGCUAAGUAGUUUGAUGU